rnacentral:rRNA from 1 species
UACAGAGGUCCCAAGCGUUGUUCGGAUUCACUGGGCGUAAAGGGUGCGUAGGCGGGUCUUUAAGUCAGGGGUGAAAUCCUGGAGCUCAACUCCAGAACUGCCUUUGAUACUGAAGAUCUUGAGUUCGGGAGAGGUGAGUGGAACUGCGAGUGUAGAGGUGGAAUUCGUAGAUAUUAGGAAGAACACCAGUGGCGAAGGCGGCUCACUGGUCCGGUACUGACGCUGAGGUGCGAAAGCGUGGGGAGCAAACAGG